CUCCCUAUAGUAUAACUUAUUACCUCAACUUUUCGCGUUGCCAAUGGAGCCCCCUACCACAC
rnacentral:tRNA from 1 species